UGUGGCUCAGUGGUACAGCACUUGCCUAGCAUGCAUGAAGCCCUGGAUUCAAUUUCCAGAACCACAA
rnacentral:tRNA from 1 species